rnacentral:tRNA from 1 species
AGGGGUGUAGCUCAGUGGUAGGUUGCCUGCUUAGCAUGCACAAGGCCUUGGGUUCAAUCCCCAGUACCUCCA